rnacentral:tRNA from 2 species
GGUGGAGCAGCCCGGUAGCUCGUCAGGCUCAUAACCUGAAGGUCGUAGGUUCAAAUCCUACCCCCGCAACCA